rnacentral:rRNA from 1 species
AAUAUUGGAAAAUGGGCGAAAGCCUGAUCCAGCCAUGCCGCGUGUGUGAAGAAGGUCUUCGGAUUGUAAAGCACUUGUAGUAGGGAGGAAGGGUUGUAGGUUAAUACGCUGCAAUCUUGACGUUACCCACAGAAUAAGCACCGGCUAACUUGCUGCCAGCAGCCGCGGUAAUACGAAGGGUGCAAGCGUUAAUCGGAAUUACUGGGCGUAAAGCGCGCGUAGGUGGUUCGUUAAGUUGGAAGUGAAAGCCCCGGGCUUAACCUGGGAAUUGCUUUCAAAACUGACGAGCUAGAGUACGGUAGAGGGUAGUGGAAUUUCCUGUGUAGCGGUGAAAUGCGUAGAUAUAGGAAGGAACAUCAGUGGCGAAGGCGACUACCUGGACUGAUACUGACACUGAGGUGCGAAAGCGUGGGGAGCAAACA